GCAUGUAAAUGGUGGUCCAAACUUGCAUUUUUCCCAAAUUUUUGGAACAAAUUGGAAAUUAGUUUUUGUGGUUUUGGUUGGUGACCCACGUGGACCACUCACACACACACAAACCCUUCCUCUCUUUUCUCUCUCGUGCUCUCUCUUCCUUGGACUCACUCUCUCUCCUUCCCUCACGUAUGGGCCAACAACAACACUAAUGGAAAGUUGCAGAUCGAGGGUUUAAAGGACACCAUCGUGUUCCUGAGGUUCAUACGAGUUGAAUGGUACCAUUUUUAGCAUAUAGGUAGCUUAAGGAGGUCCUUGUGAGGCUAGGAGUGGUUCGUUGGAAGAUUUUGGACAUCAGAAUAGCGAGAACAACGAGUUUUAAGUUUGGCUGGAUUAUCGGGGAUUUUUCCGGCGAGAUUCCGUGGGAUUUAGGUCCUAAAACUGUUAUUUCGCAUAUAGAGAAGACUUAUCCUGAGGACGAGCAUGGUCAAGGGCAACUCAGGGGCUACGACCCUUCGACAUACCAGUAAGCUUGCAGUUGGUGGGGUACGAGGAUCUUGGCGGUUCUGACAUAUUAAAAUAAUUGUAGGACAUCUUAUGGUACUAUAUGACUAGUACUUGUCCUACUGGACUGCACCUAGACUUCCUACGCUCUAAUUAGGUGUACUGACACUUGUAUUUCACUUUUAGCACUUCUGGCUUAUGAAUGCACUUUAGUAACUUUCGAUUUUUAUUUAUUCAUAUAUUUCUUGAUCUUGGUCGCCCUCAUGUGACUGUCAACAUGCCUUGAUCUUGGUCGGGGUGUGUCACUCACUCUUUUCAGAGAUAUUAACUUAAGC